rnacentral:rRNA from 1 species
GAUGAACGCUGGCGGCGUGCCUAAUACAUGCAAGUAGAACGCUGAGGGAGGGGCUUGCUCUUCUGGAUGAGUGGCGAACGGGUGAGUAACGCGUAGGUAACCUGCCUUGUAGCGGGGGAUAACUAUUGGAAACGAUAGCUAAUACCGCAUGACAACAGUUAUUGCAUGAUAACUGUUGAAAAGGGGCAACUGCUCCACUACGAGAUGGACCUGCGUUGUAUUAGCGAGUUGGUGAGGCAACUGCUCGCCAAGGCGGGGAUACAGAGCCGACCGGCGAUGGGGGUCGGCCACACUGGGACGGUGACACGGCCCAUACUGCUUCGGGAGGCAGCCGUAGGGCAUCUGCGGCAAUGGACGGAAGUCUGACCGAGCAAGGCCGCGUGAGUGAAGAAGGAUGUCGGAUCGGAAAGCUCUGUUGUAAGGUAAGAACGCGUGUGAGAGUGGAAAGUUCACACUGUGACGGUAUCUGAUCAGAAAGGGACGGCUAACUACGUG